rnacentral:rRNA from 1 species
AGCAGCCGCGGUAAUUCCAGCUCCAAUAGCGUAUAUUAAAGUUGUUGCAGUUAAAAAGCUCGUAGUUGAAUUUCGGGAUCAAGGAAUCGGUCAUGCCUUGGUAUGUACUGGUUUUAUUGGUUCUCACCUUCUAAAGAACCAUAAUGUCAUUUAUUUGAUGUUAUGGGGAAUUAGGACUGUUACCUUGAAAAAAUUAGAGUGUUUAAAGCAAGCUUACGCUUGAAUACAUUAGCAUGGAAUAAUGAAAUAGGACAUCAGAUUCUAUUUUGUUGGUUUCUAGGAUCGAUGUAAUGAUUAAUAGGGAUAGUUGGGGGCAUUAGUAUUCAAUUGUCAGAGGUGAAAUUCUUGGAUUUAUUGAAGACUAACUACUGCGAAAGCAUUUGCCAAGGAUGUUUUCAUUAAUCAAGAACGAAAGUUAGGGGAUCGAAGACGAUCAGAUACCGUCGUAGUCUUAACCAUAAACUAUGCCGACUAGGGAUCGGAUGAUGUUAAUUUUUAAUUGACUC